rnacentral:rRNA from 1 species
AUAUUGGGCAAUGGAGGCAACUCUGACCCAGCAACGCCGCGUGAAUGAAGAAGGCCUUCGGGUUGUAAAGUUCUUUAAUGGGGGACGAAGAAAGUGACGGUACCCCAAGAAUAAGCCACGGCUAACUACGUGCCAGCAGCCGCGGGAAUACGUAGGUGGCAAGCGUUGUCCGGAAUGACUGGGCGUAAAGGGAGCGUAGGCGGCGCGGUAAGUUAGGAGUGAAAUCCCGGGGCUCAACCCCGGAACUGCUUUUAAAACUGCCGUGCUUGAGUGAUGGAGAGGAAAGCGGAAUCCCUAGUGUAGCGGUGGAAUGCGUAGAUAUUAGGAGGAACACCAGAGGCGAAGGCGGCUUUCUGGACAUUAACUGACGCUGAGGCUCGAAAGCGUGGGGAGCAAACAGG